rnacentral:rRNA from 1 species
AUGGACGAAAGCUGACGGAGCACGCCGCGUGAGUGAUGAAGGUUUUCGGAUCGUAAAACUCUGUUGUUAGGGAAGAACAAGGCAUAGUAACUGAUGGCACCUUGACGGUACCUAACCAGAAAGCCACGGCUAACUACGUGCCAGCAGCCGCGGUAAUACGUAGGUGGCAAGCGUUGUCCGGAAUUAUUGGGCGUAAAGCGCUCGCAGGCGGUUCUUUAAGUCUGAUGUGAAAUCUUACGGCUCAACCGUAAACGUGCAUUGGAAACUGGGGAACUUGAGUGCAGAAGAGGAGAGUGGAAUUCCACGUGUAGCGGUGAAAUGCGUAGAGAUGUGGAGGAACACCAGUGGCGAAGGCGACUCUCUGGUCUGUAACUGACGCUGAGGAGCGAAAGCGUGGGGAGCGAACAGGAUUAGAUACCCUGGUAGUCCACGCCGUAAACGAUGAGUGCUAGGUGUUAGGGAGUUUCCGCCCCUUAGUGCUGAAGUUAACGCAUUAAGCACUCCGCCUGGGGAGUACGGCCGCAAGGCUGAAACUCAAAAGAAUUGACGGGGGCCCGCACAAGCGGUGGAGCAUGUGGUUAAAUUCGAAGCAACGCGAAGAACCUUACCAGGUCUUGACAUCCUCUGAACACUCUAGAGAUAGAGUUUUCCCUUCGGG